GAUGAACGCUAGCGGCAGGCCUAAUACAUGCAAGUCAAGGGGUAGCAAUACACCGGCGGACGGGUGCGUAACGCGUACACAACAUACCUUUGAGCGGGGGAUAGCGGUGGGAAACUGCCGGUAAUACCCCAUAACACUGCGAGGUGGCAUUACUUUGCAGUUAAAGUUUCGGCGCUCAGAGAUUGGUGUGCGUCUGAUUAGGUAGUUGGCGGGGUAACGGCCCACCAAGCCGACGAUCAGUAGGGGGUGUGAGAGCAUGGCCCCCCACAUGGGUACUGAGACACGGACCCAACUCCUACGGGAGGCAGCAGUAAGGAAUAUUGGACAAUGGAGGGAACUCUGAUCCAGCCAUGCCGCGUGAAGGAUGAAGGCGCUCUGCGUUGUAAACUUC
rnacentral:rRNA from 1 species